AGAGUUUGAUCAUGGCUCAGAUUGAACGCUGGCGGCAGGCCUAACACAUGCAAGUCGAGCGGUAGAGAGGUGCUUGCACCUCUUGAGAGCGGCGGACGGGUGAGUAAUACCUAGGAAUCUGCCUGGUAGUGGGGGAUAACGUUCGGAAACGGACGCUAAUACCGCAUACGUCCUACGGGAGAAAGCAGGGGACCUUCGGGCCUUGCGCUAUCAGAUGAGCCUAGGUCGGAUUAGCUAGUUGGUGAGGUAAUGGCUCACCAAGGCUACGAUCCGUAACUGGUCUGAGAGGAUGAUCAGUCACACUGGAACUGAGACACGGUCCAGACUCCUACGGGAGGCAGCAGUGGGGAAUAUUGGACAAUGGGCGAAAGCCUGAUCCAGCCAUGCCGCGUGUGUGAAGAAGGUCUUCGGAUUGUAAAGCACUUUAAGUUGGGAGGAAGGGCAUUAACCUAAUACGUUAGUGCUUUGACGUUACCGACAGAAUAAGCACCGGCUAACUCUGUGCCAGCAGCCGCGGUAAUACAGAGGGUGCAAGCGUUAAUCGGAAUUACUGGGCGUAAAGCGCGC
rnacentral:rRNA from 1 species